AUCUCCCUGACCAACUAAAACUAGGGGUUUAUAUACCAUGGAAGAAAUGUAGCAAUGUCUAAGAAAACAGGAACAAGGGAGGGGCAAGGAAGCAAUCAUUAUGAAUAAGGGGUCUGGCAUUUCAUAGUCUAGAUGUGGUGAUCUGGUAAGCUUCAGUUCUUUGAUACUUUUUUUUUUCAGAGGCCUGGGGAUGCUUUUCUGAAUAAGAAACUACGAUAAAACAAAUCACAAGAUCCAGCAUGCAGUAAGAAAUGACCAGACAUAUGAGCAUAUGAGAUGAGAAGACAUUGAUGAAAAUCAAUAGAACAAAUUAGACCAUGGAGAUAAAACGAGAGACAAUUAACAACCACAUGAUCAUCACAUUAUUGUCUACCGACAUUCCUGUUGUGGAGAGGCCCUCUCCUGCCCUGCUCAUGCCUUACUAGCUACCUACUGCA
rnacentral:lncRNA from 1 species